GGGAUCAUUACCGAGUUUACAACUCCCAAACCCCUGUGACAUACCAAUUGUUGCCUCGGCGGAUCAGCCCGCUCCCGGUAAAACGGGACGGCCCGCCAGAGGACCCCUAAACUCUGUUUCUAUAUGUAACUUCUGAGUAAAACCAUAAAUAAAUCAAAACUUUCAACAACGGAUCUCUUGGUUCUGGCAUCGAUGAAGAACGCAGCAAAAUGCGAUAAGUAAUGUGAAUUGCAGAAUUCAGUGAAUCAUCGAAUCUUUGAACGCACAUUGCGCCCGCCAGUAUUCUGGCGGGCAUGCCUGUUCGAGCGUCAUUUCAACCCUCAAGCCCAGCUUGGUGUUGGGACUCGCGAGUCAAAUCGCGUUCCCCAAAUUGAUUGGCGGUCACGUCGAGCUUCCAUAGCGUAGUAGUAAAACCCUCGUUACUGGUAAUCGUCGCGGCCACGCCGUUAAACCCCAACUUCUGAAUGUUGACCUCGGAUCAGGUAGGAAUACCCGCUGAACUUAAGCAUAUCAAUAAGCGG
rnacentral:rRNA from 1 species